AAGAGAGAGACAUGCGCGCAUAUCAAUAAGCGGAGGAAAAGAAACUAACAAGGAUUCCCCUAGUAACGGCGAGUGAAGCGGGAAGAGCUCAAAUUUGAAAUCUUAAAGGGUUUCCCUUUACGAAUUGUAGUUUAAAGAAGUGUUUUCUGUUGAGGUUUUGGUAAAAGUUCUUUGGAAUAGGACAUCAUAGAGGGUGAGAAUCCCGUAUUUGACCUUUACUUUCAACUUUGUGAUACACUUUCAAAGAGUCGGAUUGUUUGGGAAUGCAGUCCGAAAUGGGUGGUAAAUUUCAUCUAAAGCUAAAUAUUGGCGAGAGACCGAUAGCGAACAAGUACCGUGAGGGAAAGAUGAAAAGAACUUUGAAAAGAGAGUUAAACAGUACGUGAAAUUGUCAAAAGGGAAGCGUUUGACACCAGUGUUGUUUUUCUGAAAAUCAAUUAAAGAACUGUUUAUGCUAAGCUGUUUAGACUUUAUCAGCUAACUGUUUAGUUUUGAGCUUUUCUUUAAUGCACUUUUCAGUUAACAAGUCAACAUCAAUUUCUUUUGCUGUAAAAAAGCUUGAGGAAGGUGGCUUGAGAUUCGUCAUUAAGUGUUUAUAGCCUCUUGCCUAUGCAGUCGGAGAGAUUGAGGUCUGCAGCGUAGAUCCUUCGGGGCUAAAUGCAUUUGUGCUAAGUUAUAGCAUUUUAUAGACAACUUGUUGACUAUGAUUUGUCCUGUAGCUUACUCGCUUAUGUUAUUUUACCUACGCUUAGGAUGUUGAGCGCAUGUCUCUCUCU
rnacentral:rRNA from 1 species